AAUCGAACCCGGAGAUAGCUGGUUCUCCUCGAAAUAGCUUUAGGGCUAGCCUCAUGAGAGUCUUAUGGAGGUAGAGCACUGAAUUGCCUAGGGGGCGUCAAAGCUUACCAAAGCAUAUCAAACUCCGAAUGCCAUCAAGAUGAUUCAUGGGAGUCAGACCAUACGAGAUAAGUUGGAUGGUCAAAAGGGAAAGAGCCCAGACCUACAGCUAAGGUCCCAAAGUACGUGUUAAGUGGAAAAGGAUGUGGGGAUUCUAAGACAACUAGGACGUUGGCUUAGAAGCAGCCAUUCAUUGAAAGAGUGCGUAAUAGCUCACUAGUCGAGAGUCCCUGCGCCGAAAAUGUCCGGGGCUGAAACACGACACCGAAGCUUAGGAAUGUGUAAACAUUGGUAGAGGAGCAUUGCUAGCGGGAUGAAGCCAUACCGUAAGGAGUGGUGGACUGCUAGGAAGAGAGAAUGCCGGAAUGAGUAGCGAGAUGAAGGUGAGAAUCCUUCAGGCCGAAUAUCUAAGGUUUCCAGAGUAAAGCUGAUCUGCUCUGGGUAAGUCGGGACCUAAGGCGAGGUCGAAAGACGUAGUCGAUGGAUAACAGGUUGAAAUUCCUGUACCGCAUAUAAACAGAACUGUGGGGACACAGACAGGGAAUGGAAUCCGGGAAUGGAUAUCCCGGUGCAAGCGAGGUAGGAGUGCUGUUGGCAAAUCCGCAGCACGAUCUGAAGACGUGACGCGUACCGAACAUAAGUAGGGAAGUCCAGGCCCCUGGCUGUCAAGAAAAGCCGCUAUUGUUUUAUAUGUGCCCGUACCGCAAACCGACACAGGUGGAUGAGGAGAGAAUCCUAAGGCCGACGGGAGAAGUAUUGUUAAGGAACUCGGCAAAAUGACUCCGUAACUUCGGGAGAAGGAGUGCCAUGGAAAAGUGGCCGCAGAGAAUUGGCCCAAGCAACUGUUUAGCAAAAACACAGGUCUAUGCAAAACCGAAAGGUGAGGUAUAUGGGCUGACGCCUGCCCGGUGCUGGAAGGUUAAGGGGAGAGGUUAGCGCAAGCGAAGCUUUGAACUUAAGCCCCAGUAAACGGCGGCCGUAACUAUAACGGUCCUAAGGUAGCGAAAUUCCUUGUCGGGUAAGUUCCGACCCGCACGAAAGGCGUAAUGAUUUGGGCACUGUCUCAACAAUGCACCCGGUGAAAUUGAAAUACCAGUGAAGAUGCUGGUUACCUGCGCCAGGACGGAAAGACCCCAUGGAGCUUUACUCCAGCUUGAUACUGGGAUUCGAUAUUGCAUGUACAGGAUAGGUGGGAGACUAGGAAGUGGUGACGCCAGUUGCCAUGGAGUCAAUGUUGGGAUACCACCCUUGCAGUAUUGGGUUUCUAACCAGCAGCCGUGAUCCGGCUGGGGGACAAUGUCAGGUGGGGAGUUUGACUGGGGCGGUCGCCUCCGAAAGGGUAUCGGAGGCGCUCAAAGGUUCCCUCAGAAUGGUUGGAAACCAUUCGAAGAGUGCAAAGGCAGAAGGGAGCUUGACUGCGACACCGACGGGUGGAGCAGGUACGAAAGUAGGACUUAGUGAUCCGGUGGUAUAAAGUGGGAUUGCCAUCGCUCAACGGAUAAAAGCUACCCUGGGGAUAACAGGCUUAUCACUCCCAAGAGUUCACAUCGACGGAGUGGUUUGGCACCUCGAUGUCGGCUCAUCGCAUCCUGGGGCUGUAGUAGGUCCCAAGGGUUGGGCUGUUCGCCCAUUAAAGCGGUACGCGAGCUGGGUUCAGAACGUCGUGAGACAGUUCGGUCCCUAUCCGGCGCAGGCGGAGGAUAUUUGAGAGGAGCUGUCCUUAGUACGAGAGGACCGGGAUGGACGGACCACUGGUGUAUCUGUUGUCGACCAACGCCAUGGCAGAGUAGCCAAGUCUGGAAGGGAUAAACGCUGAAGGCAUCUAAGCGUGAAGCCCCCCUCAAGAUGAGAUAUCCCUCAGAAAUGAGUAAGACCCCUUGAAGACUACGAGGUAGAUAGGAAUGAGGUGUAAGCACAGCAAUGUGUUCAGCUGACAUUUACUAAUCGGUCGAGGGCUUGACCAA
rnacentral:rRNA from 1 species